rnacentral:pre_miRNA from 1 species
UGCUGAGGAAAUCUUCGGGAGUUAACUGCCGCCGGUUUUCUAAAACUUCGGCAGUUAACUGCCGAUGAGCAU